rnacentral:rRNA from 1 species
GUUAAGGCCCCUAAAUGAUUACUAAGUGAUAAAGGAGGUGAGAAGACUUAGACAACCAGGAGGUUUGCUUAGAAGCAGCAAUCCUUUAAAGAGUGCGUAAUAGCUCACUGGUCUAGUAAUCUUGCGCCGAAAAUGAACGGGGCUAAGUAAUCUGCCGAAACUGUGGGAUGCAUUUAUUGCAUCGGUAGGGGAGCGUUCUAUAUUAGAUUGAAGCGUUAACGUAAGUGGGCGUGGACGAAAUAGAAGUGAGAAUGUCGGCUUGAGUAGCGAAAACAUUGGUGAGAAUCCAAUGCCCCGAAAACCUAAGGUUUCCUCCGGAAGGCUCGUCCGCGGAGGGUAAGUCAGGGCCUAAGGCGAGGCUGAAAAGCGUAGUCGAUGG